rnacentral:rRNA from 1 species
UACGAAGGGGGCUAGCGUUGCUCGGAAUCACUGGGCGUAAAGGGUGCGUAGGCGGGUUUUUAAGUCAGGGGUGAAAUCCUGGAGCUCAACUCCAGAACUGCCUUUGAUACUGAAAAUCUUGAGUCCGGGAGAGGUGAGUGGAACUGCGAGUGUAGAGGUGAAAUUCGUAGAUAUUCGCAAGAACACCAGUGGCGAAGGCGGCUCACUGGCCCGGUACUGACGCUGAUACGCGAAAGCCAGGGGAGCAAACGGG